CUACUCCGUCUCUGUCUCGAGCUCCUGCUCCAUUCACAAAUAACUUUUUCACAAAGCACUCCAUGAAGAUGAACAAUUAACCCUAGCUAACCCUAACCCUCCCUGUCUUCAUUAUGCCUCACUGUACCCUAACUCUCUCUUCAUUGUGCCUCACUGUACCCUAACCGCGACGAAGAGCCCUUAACAGCACUCUGCAAGAACGUCGCUGGUCGCCGGCGCUCGCAAUGCCUCCGUCGAAGAACCCCUAACCGCGAUGAAGAACCCCUAACCCUCCUUUGAGUUUCUUCGCUCUUCUCUCGCCACUCUCACCCUCAAGCUCACUGAGUCUCACCUCUCUCGCGGCUGGUCUCGCCGUCGACCUCUCUCUAGCUCUCCGGUAUAUCGCUUCUCUCGCGGGCGUUUCAGACUCAAGGUCGUCGCGCUCUGUUUCCGUCGCUGCUCUGUCACCGUCGCUGCUCUAUCGCGCUCUGUCGCAAGCGAAUCGGUGGAAUUCGAACCGAUCCCAAUCGGUUCCUGCUCUAAAGAGAACCAGAGCAUCUACCAGCAGUUGUUUAAAUUACGCCGAUAAACCUUAGGGCUCAAUUUUUCUACGCCAGUUUUAGCUAGCAAAGCAUUGCCGUAUGGAGUUACUCAUGCAUCAAAGGCUCUAGAACCUGCUACUCUUGUUCCUCUUCAGCUUUUAAAGUCAAGUGGAACCAAAUGCAUAAUGGUUGGUGACCCAAAGCAACUUCCUGCAACUGUCCUCUCAAAUGUUGCGAGUAAAUAUCUUUACGAGUGCAGCAUGUUUGAACGUUUACAAAGGGCAGGGCAUCCUGUUAUCAUGCUUAUGCUUACUGAGCAGGGCUAGGGGACAAGGCUGUUUGUGGCAACAAAACUAGGACGAAUUCGAGCGGCCGCAAAGCAGGCGCUUUUGGAAGUAGUUCAAGCUGCACCAAACAGCAUAGGAUACUAUGCAAGAGGGAAGGUUGAUGUUUCUGGAAGGGGGUUACAUGGCUCCAGAGUACCUAGCUCAUGGUCAGUUAACAGAAAAGGCAGAUGUAUAUAGUUUUGGAGUGUUAGUCUUAGAAAUAGUUACUGGGAGACAGAAUAACAGAAGCAAAUCAACAGAAUACUCAGACAACAUAGUUAUACUCAACCAGGGUUUGGAAAGAACCCAAUUCUGACAGAGAACUGCUUUGAUUAUUGCCCAACUCAUCGAGAACUACUUUGCUUGGCUUCUCAAAGUCUUGUGCCUCUGUUCUAACAUUGACCUUCUUCUAUUCUGUUUCCUUCUUGUUCUGACUGUUAUUUUUUCUAUUUCCGGAAGCACCCCAUGUCGCCAAAAUCCCGAGGUAUGUCUCUCUUGUUAAAUUUUGAAACGCCAAU